ACAAAAAAACAAGGCUCCUCCCAUCGGGUUUGGGGGCUGAAAUGUAGAUAGUCUUUUUUUCACCCUGUCUUUUACUUUCUCUCUCCUUUUACACACUCACUCACUCACACACACACACACACACACACAUAUAUAGACAUUUAUAUGUACGCAAAAAGUAUCCAGCAUUGCAGUAUAAACUAUAAUUGUACAUACUGUUGGUUAAAAUGUUGUUUUGCUCAAAAGGGGGAAUGUCUUUCAAAUUUGAAAAUGUAACAUUUAUCAUUCUUUGCCUUCAUAACGUUCACUUUCAUUGUUUAAUUUCACCACAAAUAAUGCUUCACUUCUCUGAAAAUGUAAACUCUCUUUGUAAUUUUAUCAGACUGUUUUUUCUGAAUGGAUUACUGAAUAAAUGACUAUUCCCUCAAACCCACAGCACCUAAGAAGCCCCAUGUGACCACUUCACUAAGUCAGACAGAUGAUGCAGCUGAACGACAGGAUGAAACCAGUGAAGUGGACGACCAGAGGAAAGCUGAGGUGGAAGACACAAGAAAAGACGUAGAAAUGGACACUGGUGAUGAAGAGACGAGACAAAUGAGACACAGUGCUGUUGUGACUCAGACACAGAGACCUCAUGAUGACCCAAACAAUCAGGGGGCCUCACAUUCCCUCAACAGUGUCCUGAAAGCUACAGAGAUGCAUGACAGGUUUAAAACUGCUGUUUUCAUCUGUAGCAAAUAUAUGUUGAUAACUUAAAUGCAAAACACAUCAUGUCAAGUACUAAUAGGAUACUUUAUAUCAUAAAAUGAUUGCAGAAUCAGAACUGUAGAAGAAGAUGCUUC
rnacentral:lncRNA from 1 species